CUAGCUACAGGCUUAACACAUGCAAGUCGAGGGGCAGCAUUUUAGUUUGCUUGCAAACUGAAGAUGGCGACCGGCGCACGGGUGAGUAACACGUAUCCAACCUGCCGAUAACUCCGGAAUAGCCUUUCGAAAGAAAGAUUAAUACCGGAUAGCAUACGAAUAUCGCAUGAUAUUUUUAUUAAAGAAUUUCGGUUAUCGAUGGGGAUGCGUUCCAUUAGUUUGUUGGCGGGGUAACGGCCCACCAAGACUACGAUGGAUAGGGGUUCUGAGAGGAAGGUCCCCCACAUUGGAACUGAGACACGGUCCAAACUCCUACGGGAGGCAGCAGUGAGGAAUAUUGGUCAAUGGGCGAGAGCCUGAACCAGCCAAGUAGCGUGAAGGAUGAAGGCUCUAUGGGUCGUAAACUUCUUUUAUAUGGGAAUAAAGUUUUCCACGUGUGGAAUUUUGUAUGUACCAUAUGAAUAAGGAUCGGCUAACUCCGUGCCAGCAGCCGCAGUAAUACGGAGGAUCCGAGCGUUAUCCGGAUUUAUUGGGUUUAAAGGGAGCGUAGGUGGAUUGUUAAGUCAGUUGUGAAAGUUUGCGGCUCAACCGUAAAAUUGCAGUUGAAACUGGCAGUCUUGAGUACAGUAGAGGUGGGCGGAAUUCGUGGUGUAGCGGUGAAAUGCUUAGAUAUCACGAAGAACUCCGAUUGCGAAGGCAGCUCACUAGACUAUUACUGACACUGAUGCUCGAAAGUGUGGGUAUCAAACAGGAUUAGAUACCCUGGUAGUCCACACAGUAAACGAUGAAUACUCGCUGUUUGCGAUAUACAGUAAGCGGCCAAGCGAAAGCAUUAAGUAUUCCACCUGGGGAGUACGCCGGCAACGGUGAAACUCAAAGGAAUUGACGGGGGCCCGCACAAGCGGAGGAACAUGUGGUUUAAUUCGAUGAUACGCGAGGAACCUUACCCGGGCUUAAAUUGCAACAGAAUAUAUUGGAAACAGUAUAGCCGUAAGGCUGUUGUGAAGGUGCUGCAUGGUUGUCGUCAGCUCGUGCCGUGAGGUGUCGGCUUAAGUGCCAUAACGAGCGCAACCCUUAUCUUUAGUUACUAACAGGUCAUGCUGAGGACUCUAGAGAGACUGCCGUCGUAAGAUGUGAGGAAGGUGGGGAUGACGUCAAAUCAGCACGGCCCUUACGUCCGGGGCUACACACGUGUUACAAUGGGGGGUACAGAAGGCAGCUACACGGCGACGUGAUGCUAAUCCCAAAAACCUCUCUCAGUUCGGAUCGAAGUCUGCAACCCGACUUCGUGAAGCUGGAUUCGCUAGUAAUCGCGCAUCAGCCAUGGCGCGGUGAAUACGUUCCCGGGCCUUGUACACACCGCCCGUCAAGCCAUGAAAGCCGGGGGUACCUGAAGUACGUAACCGCAAGGAGCGUCCUAGGGUAAAACUGGUAAUUGGGG
rnacentral:rRNA from 1 species